GAUGAACGCUAGCGGCAGGCUUAACGCAUGCAAGUCGAGGGGUAUAGUUCUUCGGAGCUAGAGACCGGCGCACGGGUGCGUAACGCGUAUGCAAUCUACCUUUUGCAGAGGGAUAGCUCAGAGAAAUUUGGAUUAAUACCUCAUAGUAUGUGAGAAUGGCAUCAUUUUCACAUUAAAGUCACAACGGCAAAAGAUGAGCAUGCGUCCCAUUAGCUUGUUGGUAAGGUAACGGCUUACCAAGGCAACGAUGGGUAGGGGUCCUGAGAGGGAGAUCCCCCACACUGGAACUGAGACACGGACCAGACUCCUACGGGAGGCAGCAGUGAGGAAUAUUGGACAAUGGGCGCAAGCUUGAUCCAGCCAUGCCGCGUGCAGGAUGACGGUCCUAUGGAUUGUAAACUGCUUUUGUACAGGAAGAAACACUGGUUCGUGAACCAGCUUGACGGUACUGUAAGAAUAAGGAUCGGCUAACUCCGUGCCAGCAGCCGCGGUAAAAC
rnacentral:rRNA from 1 species